rnacentral:rRNA from 1 species
UACGUAGGGGGCUAGCGUUGUCCGGAAUCAUUGGGCGUAAAGCGCGCGUAGGCGGCCAGAUAAGUCCGGUGUGAAAGUCACAGGCUCAACCUGUGAAUGCCGCUGGAAACUGUCUGGCUUGAGUCCGGAAGGGGCGAGUGGAAUUCCUGGUGUAGCGGUGAAAUGCGCAGAUAUCAGGAGGAACACCAAUGGCGAAGGCAGCUCGCUGGAACGGUACUGACGCUGAGACGCGAAAGCGUGGGGAGCGAACAGG